rnacentral:rRNA from 1 species
GACGAACGCUGGAGGCGUGCUUAACACAUGCAAGUCGAACGGAAAGGCCCUGCUUUUGUGGGGUGCUCGAGUGGCGAACGGGUGAGUAACACGUGAGUAACCUGCCCUUGACUUUGGGAUAACUUCAGGAAACUGGGCUAAUACCGGAUAGGAGCUCCUGCUGCAUGGUGGGGGUUGGAAAGUUUCGGCGGUUGGGGAUGGACUCGCGGCUUAUCAGCUUGUUGGUGGGGUAGUGGCUUACCAAGGCUUUGACGGGUAGCCGGCCUGAGAGGGUGACCGGCCACAUUGGGACUGAGAUACGGCCCAGACUCCUACGGGAGGCAGCAGUGGGGAAUAUUGCACAAUGGGCGGAAGCCUGAUGCAGCAACGCCGCGUGCGGGAUGACGGCCUUCGGGUUGUAAACCGCUUUCGCCUGUGACGAAGCGUGAGUGACGGUAAUGGGUAAAGAAGCACCGGCUAACUACGUGCCAGCCGCCGCUGUAACAC